UGAAGCGGGUCUGGAGCGGUGGAUUGUCCACGGGAUCCGGAUCGGGAGAGGGUCCUCGCCCCCUCGGGCGGCGAGCCGCGGGGGCCGUUCGGAUCAUUCUCUGCGGAGCGGGACCGACAAGAUCCAUGCGCUAGAUCUGCAGUGAGAGAUUUAUUGGAAGAAAAGCCCACAACUGGAAGCAAACCACAACUGAAGACGAGGGAACAGCAACAAGUGAACCAGCCCGAGGACUGAGAGCACCGACUGGAGAGAACCCAUCUGACUCAGGGUUUCCAUUGAUUCAGUCAGGAGAAAGUUUGAGCAGCAAAAACUGAAAACUCCUGUCCACAGAAUGGAUCAAGGUUCGAGCAGUGGAGGAGUUCCAGUGGCGUCAACAUCAGGAAAGGACACGGGUAUGUUGGCGAAGUAUUUUAAUUUAUAAAUACUGUGCGGAUUCUCCGUCUGGGUUUAAUUAAAUAAUGGCAAUUCUCAAAAUAUUUGUGAAAACUGAGCAGAGAGAUCAGAGAGAGAGUUGACAUCUCUGGGGGAAACUCAGUCACACGUGGAAGGAGGACAGUUACCGUCUGCUCCUGCUCCUCUAACAGAUUGUGAUGCACAUUAAAAUAGCGAGUUACACCAGAAGACAAGACAUUCUGCAGAUGCUGAAAGUUUUGGGCAACAAAAAGACACACAAAAUAUUGGCAGAAUUCAGCAGGUCAUCCAUGGACAGGAAUAAACAGUCAACAUUUCAGAUCAGGACCACAGGGAACAGAAAGUAAUGUAAAAAUAUCUAGAAUUUCUGUCUCCUCAUUUCCAGUCCGAUGAAGG